rnacentral:lncRNA from 1 species
AACACAUCUCUUGGAGCUCUAGCUCACCUCUCUAGUGUUGUUCUUGUAUUCAUCUGAUUAAUCUAGUUCUUGCCAGUUCUUCUUGAACUUCUUGUUAGAUCUCAAGUCUGUGUCCGUGACACUAAUCCACAACCAUUUUAUUUGUAUACUAAGAUUUUGUAAUAUUAUUUAAAAGAGAUAAAGAAUUUUUGUAAAAAAGCUAAAGAUCAAUCUUUUGGUUGUUCUAAGAUAAGACAAGUCUUAAGUUUGAAUAUAAUAAGGGUGUCAUGUAGAUAGGCACCCUUAAUGGAUAUUCAAGUAAGUCUUAAAUCUUUUGG